UACAGAGGGUGCGAGCGUUAAUCGGAUUUACUGGGCGUAAAGCGUGCGUAGGCGGCUGAUUAAGUCGGAUGUGAAAUCCCUGAGCUUAACUUAGGAAUUGCAUUCGAUACUGGUCAGCUAGAGUAUGGAAGAGGAUGGUAGAAUUCCAGGUGUAGCGGUGAAAUGCGUAGAGAUCUGGAGGAUCACCGAUGGCGAAGGCAGCCAUCUGGCCUAAUACUGACGCUGAGGUACGAAAGCAUGGGGGGCAAACAGGAUUAGAUACCCUGGUAGUCCAUGCCGUAAACGAUGUCUACUAGCCGUUGGGGCCUUUGAGGCUUUAGUGGGGCAGCUAACGCGAUAAGUAGACCGCCUGGGGAGUACGGUCGCAAGGUUGAA
rnacentral:rRNA from 1 species